rnacentral:rRNA from 1 species
GACGAACGCUGGCGGCGUGCUUAACACAUGCAAGUCGAACGGAAAGGCCCUGCUUUUGUGGGGUGCUCGAGUGGCGAACGGGUGAGUAACACGUGAGUAACCUGCCCUUGACUUUGGGAUAACUUCAGGAAACUGGGGCUAAUACCGGAUAGGAGCUCCUGCUGCAUGGUGGGGGUUGGAAAGUUUCGGCGGUUGGGGAUGGACUCGCGGCUUAUCAGCUUGUUGGUGGGGUAGUGGCUUACCAAGGCUUUGACGGGUAGCCGGCCUGAGAGGGUGACCGGCCACAUUGGUACUGAGAUACGGCCCAGACUCCUACGGGAGACAGAAGUGGGGAAUAUUGCACAAUGGGCGGAAGCCUGAUGCAGCAACGCCGCGUGCGGGAUGACGGCCUGCGGGUUGUAAACCGCUUUCGCCUGUGACGAAGCGUGAGUGACGGUAAUGGGUAAAGAAGCACCGGCUAACUACGUG